rnacentral:rRNA from 1 species
GACGAACGCUGGCGGCGUGCUUAACACAUGCAAGUCGAACGGUGAUCUUGGGAGCUUGCUCUUGGGUGAUCAGUGGCGAACGGGUGAGUAACACGUGAGUAACCUGCCCCUGACUCUGGAAUAACUUCGGGAAACCGAAGCUAAUACCGGAUACGACACAGAGCUGCAUGGCUACUGUGUGGAAAGUUCUUCGGUUGGGGAUGGACUCGCGGCCUAUCAGCUUGUUGGUGAGGUAAUGGCUCACCAAGGCGACGACGGGUAGCCGGCCUGAGAGGGCGAUCGGCCACACUGGGACUGAGCCACGGCCCAGACUCCUACGGGAGGCAGCAGUGGGGAAUAUUGCACAAUGGGCGAAAGCCUGAUGCAGCGACGUCGCGUGAGGGAUGAAGGCCUUCGGGUUGUAAACCUCUUUCAGUAGGGAAGAAGCGCAAGUGACGGUACCUACAGAAGAAGCACCGGCUAACUACGUGCCAGCCGCCGCCGUAACAC